rnacentral:rRNA from 1 species
GCGGCAGGCCUAACACAUGCAAGUCGAGCGGCAGCGCGGGGGCAACCCUGGCGGCGAGCGGCGGACGGGUGAGGAAUGCAUCGGAAUCUACCUCGUUGUGGGGGAUAACCUCGGGAAACCGGGACUAAUACCGCAUACGACCUACGGGUGAAAGUGGGGGACCUUCGGGCCUCACGCGAUGAGAUGAGCCGAUGCCGGAUUAGCUAGUUGGCGGGGUAAAGGCCCACCAAGGCGACGAUCCGUAGCUGGUCUGAGAGGAUGAUCAGCCACACUGGAACUGAGACACGGUCCAGACUCCUACGGGAGGCAGCAGUGGGGAAUAUUGGACAAUGGGCGCAAGCCUGAUCCAGCCAUGCCGCGUGUGUGAAGAAGGCCUUCGGGUUGUAAAGCACUUUUGUUGGGGAAGAAACCGGCCGGAUUAAUACUUCGGCUGAAUGACGGUACCCAAAGAAUAAGCACCGGCUAACUUCGUGCCAGCAGCCGCGGUAAUACGAAGGGUGCAAGCGUUACUCGGAAUUACUGGGCGUAA